rnacentral:lncRNA from 1 species
ACAAGUUAGAAGAUCACAAGUCAACUUCCCUAUAACUAGAAUUAAUUUGGCUAUUUCUCAUAAAACUUUCUUCACCAUGAUCCUAGCAUCAAGCAUCCAAAAAUCUGAAUUCCUGUUCUUUAUAUGUUAAACUUGUAUAAGUCUUCCAAAACCAAUUUCAACAUUUAAUUCAACAAUAGUAGCAAGAUACCCUAGAUUAGCUCAUAAAGCUAAUCUUUGUUUUAAAUUUUACAUACCCAACUAUCUCAACAA